rnacentral:lncRNA from 1 species
AAAAAGGUUAGUGAAAGAUCGUAAAAGUGAUGCAUUUGUUAAAGGGUUUUUCAUGUAUCAUAGACUUCUGUAUUUAACUGAAUGUAAUAAUGGUGAGAAUACAGGUACAAAGACAUUGGAGAGCACUGAAACUGCAUUGGAUAAGAAUUAUUAUUAUUCAAGAAAUAAUAAGAAAACUCAAAAUUUAUCAAAUGCAUUCAAUUAUCUUUUUGGAGACUCACGAGUAGUAGUGGAAAGUUUAAAAUAUGAAUUUAAUGCCGAAUUAGCAAAGAAAUUGAAUAAAUUAAUUGGAGAUGAAUUAUUU